ACAGGAACCAAUUAUCCUAAUCAUUUGUGGGAAUUGAAAACUCUUCCUGUAGCCAACAGACUGGGUGCAAUGAAGGCAGGAGCCAUUUCCCUGGCAGCUGGAUCCCAUCUUCAAGAAUAUGCCACCUUCAGAUGAAUGGUCCACACCACUCUUCAGCCUGGAAGCACUUUGCUUCUCUAUGUGGAGCCUGCUACAAGUCUGUCUCCCCUUCAUCCUACUUUGCCAUCUGCCAAACUCUUAGGCCCUGAGAAUGAGAAAUACACUCUGAUGGCCAACUGAUAUCUACCAAUACAUCAUCAGAGCUGUUGGAAAUAGCAGGCUGGAUGACUAACCUCAGAAGGGUAGGUUUGCUCUCCGUUAACUGAUCGCCUGCAGAGGAGCAGAGAGGAAUUCCUGCUGGACUCCCUGCUCUAGUCCACCCUGGCUUCGUUUUCCAUCUCUGGAUCCUUCCAGCCCUGCAAACAUACACAACAUCACCAUGGAGACUCAGACAGACACAGGCAUGUGAGGAAAGCACGAGGCAAAUCUCUCCUCUGUUGCUUUGUUAGGAGGGGAAGGGCGAUUUUAACAGCUUUGGAAAUCACCCUGUUUCAUUCCCUGAUUCUCACUCAAGAGCAUUUACCUCAGUCAAAAACAUAGUUAUUGUUCUACCUUUGCUUUUGCUCUGCUGGCCACAGCAAACUAUAGCUACAAAAGAUCUGACAAAGAUACUCCAGGAUGAGCCCAGUCUCGUACCCCCAAACCCACCCUUAAAAUGGUUUGCCAGUUGUAAGGUGGGGAAGUGCAUCAACAGAUGAUCUCGGCUGUCCACACUGGAUUAAUAAACUCUGUUUUUGCUUUGUGAGUUUCA